rnacentral:snRNA from 1 species
GAGUGUCAAGGCGAUCUGACUGUGAAAUCUGUUACCCCAGCGACUGCCAGGGUUGAUCUGGCAGAUCCAACUGGCUAGGUGGUGUCCCAUUCCUCCAUGAUGAUUCCAUGUGUCUCUCCCAAAGCUGCAUGGUCCAUUAUAGAGGAUGACCAUUCUUCCAUCAAAGGUAUAUGAUUAGUUGCACUCCCCUGCUAGGACUUCCAAACAAAUUUUCAAAGUAAGCUAUUUAAGAGUUAGUCCAGUAGGAGAUUUCCAGGUAGAAUGCCUUCCAACUGUCACACUCUCUCAAGACCUAACACAGAUCAAUACUUUGGCUGAGACCUU